GAUCCCGGGGGUUCGCUCCCGGGUGAGAGUGGCGAACGGGUGAGUAAUGCGUGACCGACCUGCCCCAUACACCGGAAUAGCUCCUGGAAACGGGUGGUAAUGCCGGAUGCUCCGGUUGGAUGCAUGUCCUUCCGGGAAAGAUUCCAUCGGUAUGGGAUGGGGUCGCGUCCUAUCAGCUUGAUGGCGGGGUAACGGCCCACCAUGGCUUCGACGGGUAGCCGGCCUGAGAGGGCGACCGGCCACAUUGGGACUGAGAUACGGCCCAGACUCCUACGGGAGGCAGCAGUGGGGAAUAUUGCACAAUGGGCGCAAGCCUGAUGCAGCGACGCCGCGUGCGGGAUGGAGGCCUUCGGGUUGUAAACCGCUUUUGAUCGGGAGCAAGCCCUUCGGGGUGAGUGUACCUUUCGAAUAAGCACCGGCUAACUACGUGCCAGCAGCCGCGGUAAUACGUAGGGUGCAAGCGUUAUCCGGAAUUAUUGGGCGUAAAGGGCUCGUAAGCGGUUCGUCGCGUCCGGUGUGAAAGCCCAUCGCUUAACGGUGGGUCUGCGCCGGGUACGGGCGGGCUGGAAUGCGGUA
rnacentral:rRNA from 1 species